rnacentral:rRNA from 1 species
AGUGAACGCUGGCGGUAGGCCUAACACAUGCAAGUCGAACGGCAGCACAGUAAGAGCUUGCUCUUACGGGUGGCGAGUGGCGGACGGGUGAGGAAUACAUCGGAAUCUACUUUUUCGUGGGGGAUAACGUAGGGAAACUUACGCUAAUACCGCAUACGACCUACGGGUGAAAGCAGUGGAUCUUCUGACCUUGUGCGAUUGAAUGAGCCGAUGUCGGAUUAGCUAGUUGGCGGGGUAAAGGCCCACCAAGGCGACGAUCCGUAGCUGGUCUGAGAGGAUGAUCGGCCACACUGGAACUGAAACACUGUCCAGGCUCCUACGAGAGGCAGCAGUGGGGAAUAUUGGACAGUGGGCGCGAGCCUGAUCCAGCCGUACCGCGUGGGUGAAGAAGGCCUUCGGGUUGUAAAGCCCUUUUGUUGGGAAAGAAAAGCAGCAGGUUAAUACCCCGCGGUUCUGACGGUACCCAAAGAAUAAGCACCGGCUAACUUCGUG